rnacentral:misc_RNA from 1 species
GUUUUCUCAGUUUUUGCUAUAUUUUCAUCUUUUCUUUUGAAUUUGGACUUCAUUGUUAGUUUAGUAAUUCGUAUGUGGUGAUUUCUUUGCGUGGUUUAUCUAAAUUUUUCCCAAGAUAACUAUAAACCUGAAAAGUUUAAACAACGGACCACAAAGUCGCCACAUUGCCACUGUUUUAUACUGUCCUGGUUGGUAUCUUUGUUCGAUGGACUAUGUUGGCCUCCCCUACAAAGAAAAGACUUCAUUAUUCUUGAUUUGAUAAUGGGAGUAGAGAGAUAAAGAGUGAGUUUAGAAGGGGAACUCACAAGAAAAUUAAAAUUUCUGAAGUGAUGGCAUAGCUUGAUGGAAGAUUGGUGCUGUGUGGGCCUGGUGGGUGCUUUUUUGUGGAGCUUCUCCAUGAUUUAGAUGGUAUCCAGCUUGAGGGUACUAGAUAUUGAUAUUGGUGCUAGGCAGAUUUUAUGGAUUCUGAUUCGGACUUUUUUGACGAUAUGCUUCCUGAACCAGCCGUUGCCCAUGCUGCUAGGGCUGGUGGGAAGUUUCAACCAAGCGCUAAAUCACAAGCAAGGAAGCUAACAUCCACAUCAUUUCCUUCUGUGCUUCCAAGCAAUGCCAGGGAAAAAUCUGUUUCAUCAUUCCCAACUACCUUUGACACAACAAAACCUGUUCAGUCUGUUCAUCCUGUGGAUGAUAGAGGUGGUUCUUUGGUUUCAUCAUCAGGAUUACCUGGGAGUGAAGAACACUUGGAAGACAAUGACAAUAACCUGAAAUGUGAACCAGUGAAAUCUUCAACCCAAACUGUUGAAAGAAGAGAGGAUCUAGCUUCUCCAGAUGCUCUGCCUUCAGAAUUUGUGGUGACUAAUAGCAACAAGAAUGGAGAUUCUAACCUCUUGAUAAGAGAGGCAGAUCCCUUGGGGCUUGAUUUGGACCCUUUUGCUGUCAUUUUUCCUAAUACUACUCUAAGUAAAGCCUUCAUAUUCAAGGAGAGUAGUUGUCAAUAUUAAUUUCUGUU